GCGGCGGCGUCGUUCGUCUAUGGCUCUGGGUCAGGCGGACGACGCGGCGGCGGCGGUGGAGGCGCUACUCCCGGUUCACCUUCUUCUUCUCCUACUCCUCCGAGUUCUCCUUCGCGGCUUUCUACUCCGUCGCUAGGUUCAUCCACUUGCUCCUCUUUCGAAUUGGAACAUAGUGACGUGGUCAGACAACCCUACUAUCCCAGAAAACCAAGGACUAUACAGACCCAACAACACUAUAAACCCCCUACGGUUGGGAACAUUGUACUCCUAUUAAUAUACGAAAGGAAGGUUCCGACCUAUAAACCGAAUUCUUUAUAAUAGCAGAUAAAAACUAGACAACGGGACGGACAAGGAAGAAAAGACCGUACGUAGACUACAAAACUCACAAUAAAAUCAAACAAAACAAAGGUAAACGAACAGCUUUCGUAUAAAUGUUGACCUUAACGAUACUCAUGAGUUAGACGGGGAUGUUGUUCGUCUGGAGUAAUGCCUCGAGAAGGAGACGUCGGCAUCAAAACAAAGUCCGCGUCUAACUUUCUCUCUUUGUUAAAAUGUUGAAGAGAAUAGAAAAUCUACUAGAGAACCGAAUCACAACUCUCAGUAAAAAGAGGUAAGAUCC
rnacentral:rRNA from 1 species